rnacentral:rRNA from 1 species
GUUUUAUGGUCAAGCUACUAAGGGCAGACGGCGGAUGCCUUGGCAUCGAUAGGCGAUGAAGGACGUGGAAAGCUGCGAUAAGCUUCGGGGAGCUGCUAACAGGCUUUGAUCCGGAGAUUUCCGAAUGGGGAAACCCAUCAGAAGUAAUGUUCUGAUAUCAUUACGUGAAUACAUAGCGUAGUGAGGCGAACGCGGGGAAUUGAAACAUCUAAGUACCUGCAGGAGAAGAAAUCAAUUGAGAUUCCGUUAGUAGCGGCGAGCGAACGCGGAAAAGCCCAAACCUAUAGGCUUGCCUAUAGGGGUUGUGGGGCCCCAACAUGGGAUUGAGGAGAGAUAGUAGAAUGGCAUGGAAAGGCCAACCAAAGACGGUGACAGUCCGGUAUACGAAAUCUUGAAUCACCCUAGGGUGUCCCCGAGUACCACGAGACACGAGAAACCUUGUGGGAAUCCGGGAGGACCAUCUUCCAAGGCUAAAUACUCAUCGAUGACCGAUAGUGAACCAGUACCGUGAGGGAAAGGUGAAAAGAACGGGGGGACCCGAGUGAAAUAGAACCUGAAACCGUCUGCUUACAAUCUGUGGAAGCACUAUGUCUAUUAGACAGUGUAACCGCGUGCCUUUUGCAUAAUGAGUCAUCGAGUUACCGUAUGUAGCGAGGUUAAGCCGUAAGGUGUAGCCGUAGCGAAAGCGAGUCUUAAUAGGGCGAAUUAGUUACAUGCGGUAGACCCGAAGCCGGGUGAUCUAUCCAUGGCCAGGGUGAAGCGAAGGUAACACUUUGUGGAGGCCCGAACCGAUAUAGGUUGAAAACUGUUCGGAUGAGCUGUGGAUCGGAGUGAAAGGCUAAUCAAACUCGGUAAUAGCUGGUUUUCUCCGAAAUAUAUUUAGGUAUAGCGUUGCAUGAUGACUGACGGAGGUAGAGCACUGACAAGGCUAGGGGGGCUCACCGCCUUACCAACCCUUAUCAAACUCCGAAUACCGUCAAGCUCAAGUGCGGCAGUCAGACUGCGGGAGAUAAGUUUCGUAGUCGAAAGGGAAACAGCCCAGACCGCCAGUUAAGGUCCCAAAACAAUGCUAAGUGGAAAAGGAGGUGGAGUUGCUUAGACAACCAGGAGGUUGGCUUAGAAGCAGCAACCCUUUAAAGAAAGCGUAAUAGCUCACUGGUCGAGUGACUCCGCGCCGAAAAUUUAACGGGGCUCAAGCAUUGUACCGAAACUGCGGAUAGGAUUUAUCCUAUGGUAGGAGAACAUUGUAGCGCCGGAGAAGGUACACCGAAAGGAGUGCUGGAGGUUCUACAAGAGCUUAUGAUGACACGAGUAGCGAAAAUGCGAGUGAGAAACUCGCACGCCGAAAACCUAAGGUUUCCUGUAGUCAAGUUAAUCUGCUCAGGGUUAGUCGGUCCCUAAGGCGAGGCUGAGAAGCGUAGUCGAUGGGAAACAGGUUAAUAUUCCUGUACCGGCAGUUGUUGUUUGAUCGAAGGGGGGACGCAGAAAGUAAGGCCAUCCAGGUGUUGGAAUACCUGGUUUAAGCGUGUAGGCGGAGGACCUAGGCAAAUCCGGGACCUUGUAAACGCUGAGACGUGACGACGAAGGGGCAGUAGCCCCGCAAAGUGGCUGGAUCUAUGCUGCCAGGAAAAGCCUCGUAGAGAGACAACUGUUGACCGUACCGUAAACCGACACAGGUAGGUAGGUAGAGAAUACCAAGGCGCUUGAGAGAACUCUGGUUAAGGAACUCGGCAAAAUAGCACCGUAACUUCGGGAGAAGGUGUGCCUUUGAAGGUGAUUGGACUUGCUCCAUGAGCUUUUGGAGGUUGCAGUGAAAUGGGGGGAGCGACUGUUUACUAAAAACACAGGACUAUGCGAAGUCGAAAGACGCGGUAUAUGGUCUGACGCCUGCCCGGUGCCGGAAGGUUAAGGGGACUUGUUAGCGCAAGCGAAGCAAUGAACCGAAGCCCCGGUAAACGGCGGCCGUAACUAUAACGGUCCUAAGGUAGCGAAAUUCCUUGUCGGGUAAGUUCCGACCUGCACGAAUGGCGUAACGAUUUCCCCACUGUCUCAACCAGGGACUCAGCGAAACUGUAAUACCGGUGAAGAUGCCGGUUACCCGCAACAAGACAGAAAGACCCCGUGCACCUUUACUAUAGCUUGGCAUUGGAGUUUGGAAUAGUUUGUGUAGGAUAGGUGGGAGACUGUGAAGCAGGCACGCUAGUGUUUGUGGAGUCAACCUUGAAAUACCACCCUGAUUAUUUUAGGCUUCUAACCACGGUCCGUAAUCCGGAUCUGGGACAGUGUCUGGUGGGUAGUUUGACUGGGGCGGUCGCCUCCUAAAGAGUAACGGAGGCGCACGAAGGUUCCCUCAGGCUGAUUGGAAACCAGCCGAAGAGUGCAAAGGCAUAAGGGAGCUUGACUGCGAGAGAGACAUCUCGAGCAGGUACGAAAGUAGGUCUUAGUGAUCCGGCGAUUCCGCAUGGAAGGGUCGUCGCUCANAUAUCGACGGGGAGGUUUGGCACCUCGAUGUCGGCUCAUCGCAUCCUGGGGCUGGAGCAGGUCCCAAGGGUUUGGCUGUUCGCCAAUUAAAGCGGUACGCGAGCUGGGUUUAAAACGUCGUGAGACAGUUUGGUCCUUAUCUGUUGCGGGCGCAGGAUAUUUGAAGAGAUCUUUUCCUAGUACGAGAGGACCGGAAUGGACGUACCACUGGUGCUCCUGUUGUUCUGCCAAGGGCAUAGCAGGGUAGCUAAGUACGGAAGGGAUAACCGCUGAAAGCAUCUAAGCGGGAAGCCCACUCUAAGAUAAGAUAUCCCAAGGACAUAAGUCCUUCUGAAGGGUCGUUGAAGACUACAACGUUGAUAGGCCAGGUGUGGAAGUGCAGUAAUGCAUGGAGCUAACUGGUACUAAUUACCCGUGCGGCUUGACCAUAU